rnacentral:rRNA from 1 species
UACGUAGGGACCAAGCGUUGUUCGGAUUUACUGGGCGUAAAGGGCGCGUAGGCGGCGCUGUAAGUCACUUGUGAAAUCUCCGGGCUUAACUCGGAACGGUCAAGUGAUACUGCAGUGCUAGAGUGCAAGGAAAGGGCAAUACGGAAUUUCUUGGUGUAGCGGUGAAAUGCGUAGAUAUCAAGAGGAACACCUGAGGCGAAGGCGGGUUGCUAGGCUGACACUGACGCUAACAGCGCGAAAGCCAGGGAGCAAACGGG